UCCCCGUUACCGAGGCAGUCUGAUUAGAAAAAUUCAACUAAUCACAAGGGUUGCGCUCGUUGAUGGACUUAACCAAACAUCUCACGACACGAGCUGACGACGGCCAUGCAACACCUGUCACCUGAUUCCCGAAGGCACUCUCUUCUUUCGAAAAGAUUCCAGGGAUGUCAAGCCUUGGUAAGGUUCUUCGCUUAUCAUCGAAUUAAACAACACGCUCCACCGCUUGUGCGGGUCCCCGUCAAUUCCUUUAUGUUUUAAGCUUGCGCUCGUACUCCACAGGCGGGAUGCUUAACGCGUUAGCUUCGCUACUAGAAGGGUCGAUACUUCUAACAGCUAGCAUCCAUCGUUUACAGCGUGGACUAC
rnacentral:misc_RNA from 1 species